rnacentral:rRNA from 1 species
AUACGUAGGGGGCGAGCGUUGUCCGGAAUGAUUGGGCGUAAAGGGCGCGUAGGCGGCCGCUUAAGUCUGGAGUGAAAGUCCUGUUUUCAAGAUGGGAAUUGCUUUGGAUACUGGGGGGCUUGAGUGCAGGAGAGGUUAUCGGAAUUCCCGGUGUAGCGGUGAAAUGCGUAGAGAUCGGGAGGAACACCAGUGGCGAAGGCGGGUAACUGGACUGCAACUGACGCGGAGGCGCGAAAGCGUGGGGAGCAAACAGGAUUAGAUACCCUGGUAGUCCACGCUGUAAACGAUGAGUACUAGGUGUUGCGGGUAUUGACCCCUGCAGUGCCGUAGCUAACGCAUUAAGUACUCCGCCUGGGAAGUACGGUCGCAAGACUAAAACUCAAAGGAAUUGACGGGG